rnacentral:rRNA from 1 species
UGGGGAAUAUUGCGCAAUGGGGGGAACCCUGACGCAGCCAUGCCGCGUGAAUGAAGAAGGCCUUAGGGUUGUAAAGUUCUUUCGGUAUUGAGGAAGGUUGAUGUGUUAAUAGCACAUCAAAUUGACGUUAAAUACAGAAGAAGCACCGGCUAACUCCGUGCCAGCAGCCGCGGUAAUACGGAGGGUGCGAGCGUUAAUCGGAAUAACUGGGCGUAAAGGGCACGCAGGCGGUUAUUUAAGUGAGGUGUGAAAGCCCCGGGCUUAACCUGGGAAUUGCAUUUCAGACUGAGACUGGGUAACUAGAGUACUUUAGGGAGGGGUAGAAUUCCACGUGUAGCGGUGAAAUGCGUAGAGAUGUGGAGGAAUACCGAAGGCGAAGGCAGCCCCUUGGGAAUGUACUGACGCUCAUGUGCGAAAGCGUGGGGAGCAAACAGGAUUAGAUACCCUGGUAGUCCACGCUGUAAACGCUGUCGAUUUGGGGGUUGGGGUUUAACUCUGGCGCCCGUAGCUAACGUGAUAAAUCGACCGCCUGGGGAGUACGGCCGCAAGGUUA